AGAGUUUGAUCCUGGCUCAGGACGAACGCUGGCGGCGCGCUUAACACAUGCAAGUCGAGCGAGAACCAGGGCUUCGGUCCUGGGGACAGCGGCGAACGGGUGAGUAACACGUGGAUAACCUGCCCUCGGCACCGGGAUAGCCCGGGGAAACCCGGAUUAAUACCGGAUGGCCCUUCCGGCUCACGAGCCGGUCGGAAAAGGUAGCUUCGGCCUCCGGCCGAGGAUGGGUCCGCGGCGGAUUAGCUUGUUGGUGGGGUAACGGCCUACCAAGGCUCCGAUCCGUAGCUGGUCUGAGAGGACGAUCAGCCACACUGGGACUGAGACACGGCCCAGACUCCUACGGGAGGCAGCAGUGGGGAAUCUUGCGCAAUGGGCGAAAGCCUGACGCAGCGACGCCGCGUGAGGGAGGAAGGCCUUCGGGUUGUAAACCUCUUUCAGGAGGGACGAAGCUACUCGGGUGAAUAGCCCAGAGGGUGACGGUACCUCCAGAAGAAGCCCCGGCUAACUACGUGCCAGCAGCCGCGGUAAUACGUAGGGGGCAAGCGUUGUCCGGAUUUACUGGGCGUAAAGAGCGUGUAGGCGGCCAAACAGGUCCGUUGUGAAAACUGGAGGCUCAACUUCCAGACGUCGACGGAAACCGUUUGGCUAGAGUCCGGAAGAGGAGAGUGGAAUUCCUGGUGUAGCGGUGAAAUGCGCAGAUAUCAGGAAGAACACCAAUGGCGAAGGCAGCUCUCUGGGACGGUACUGACGCUGAGACGCGAAAGCGUGGGGAGCGAACAGGAUUAGAUACCCUAGUAGUCC
rnacentral:rRNA from 1 species